ensembl:lncRNA
UUCUAAAUUUAAUCAACCAAAAGCAAGAUAGUCCUGCUUAAUGUUAAGUAGGGGAGGUUCACAAACCACUUUCUAAAGUGAUUUACACCUCCAGAAGUGACUGACUGCCUCCAUGGGCAGUGUUAAGCAAAUUUAAAGACUACAAUUGGUCCCUGUAAAGUGGAGGAAAGUACAGGAAGUGAUGUAAAAAAGGUUUUUAAAAAAGGCCUAAACUUCCUGUGAGAAAGUCUUUGUGAGGUCUUAAGGCUGAAUCUAGAGUGUGGAGGGCCUGGAACUCUGGCAAGACUGCUCUUGGAUCUUUUCCCUUUGGAGCCACUGCUUGGCUCAGCCCCAGCCAAAGGACCUGGUGAUGUAAGGGAUCCACCAAUGUAGCCUCCUCCAGGAAAGGAAGGCCUCUCCAGAAGCCAGGAAAGGAAGGC